rnacentral:rRNA from 1 species
GUACUGCGAGUGAAGCGGGAACAGCUCAUAUUUAAAAUCUGGCAGUCUUUUGGCUGUCCGAGUUGUAAUUUAGGGAAGCGUCUUCCGCGCCGGACCGUGCACAAGUCUCCUGGAAUGGAGCGUCAUAGAGGGUGAGAAUCCCGUCUUUGGCAUGGACACCCGGGGCUUCUGCGAUGCGCUCUCGAAGACUCGAGUUGUUUGGGAAUGCAGCUCAAAAUGGGUGGUGAACUCCAUCUAAAGCUAAAUAUUGGCGAGAGACCGAUAGCGAACAAGUACCGUGAGAUAAAGAUGAAAAGCACUUUGGAAAGAGAGUGAAAGAGUACGUGAAAUUGUUGAAAGGGAAACGCUUGAAGUCAGUCGCGGCGAUCGAGACUCAGCCUUGCCUUGGCUUGGCAUACUUCKCGGCUGACGGGCCAGCAUCAAUUUUGUCUCUCGGAUAAUGACAAGGGAAAGGUGGMACCUUUACCGGUGUGUUAUAGUCUCCUGUCGCAUGCGASRGGYGGKAUUGAGGAACUCAGCACGCACGUCUUGGUGUCGGGGCUUCUGSSCACGCUACGUGCUUAGGAUGUUGGCGUAAUGGCUUUAAACGACCCGUCUUGAAACACGGACCAAGGAGUCUAACAUGCCCGCGAGUGUUCGGGUGGAAAACCCGUGCGCGUAAUGAAAGUGAAAGUUGGGACCUCUAUCGUGGAGCGCACCGACGCCCGGACCAGACCUUCUGUGACGGAUCUGCGGUAGAGCGUGCAUGUUGGGACCCGAAAGAUGGUGAACUAUGCCUGAAUAGGGUGAAGCCAGAGGAAACUCUGGUGGAGGCUCGUAGCGAUUCUGACGUGCAAAUCGAUCGUCAAAUUGGGAUAGGGC